rnacentral:rRNA from 1 species
CCCUGCCAUUUGUACACACCGCCCGUCGCUACUACCGAUUGAAUGGCUCAGUGAGGCCUUCGGACUGGCUCAGGGAGGUCGGCAACGACCACCCAGAGCCGGAAAGUUCGUCAAACUUGGUCAUUUAGAGGAAG